rnacentral:misc_RNA from 1 species
UUAAGUUCAGCGGGUAUCCCUACCUGAUCCGAGGUCAAUCUAGUAAAUAAAUUGGUUAAGACAGGGCCCGGGGACUACCGAGACGCGUGCUGAAGAGCUCGCUGCAUCCAGGGUCCACGGACUCCGCCAUUGUCUUUAAGGUCCACCAUGUCGCCGACGGUGGGACCCAACAGCAAGCUAGGCUUGAGGAUUGAUAAUGA